rnacentral:lncRNA from 1 species
AAAAAAGAAAGUUUCCAAUCUCAUUUUAUCUUCAUUACUUUCUACACCAAAAUUGGGUCCCACAACCCGGUUCUUUGUCUAGAGGAUAGCAGUUGAGUACUAGUGGUGGUCUCGGGUAGAAUUGGUAAGAAGACAUCAAACCUUUUGAAAGCUUCAAAGGUAAUACUUCUUAAAACCCUAAUUUGAUUAGUUUAUGGUUAGAUGUUAAUUGUGGCAAUUAGGGUAGAAAUUCGAUUCUUUUUCCGCUGUGCAUGACUUAGUUCUAUCAUGUGGUAUCAGAGCAUGCUUCAUUUUUACCCAAUUGCAUGUGGUGGGUUCAUAUUUAUUAGAUAAAUUUUGGUUUGAACUAAAAUGGAUAUAUUAUGAUUUUGGCUCUAGAUUAAGUGUUUUUGUUCUAAUUAUUGUAAUUAGCCUUGUUAAUGGCUUAUUUUUAUUGUUGCAAAGUGUUUGUAAUUUUUAAAAAAAAUAAAAAAAGUCAUUAGAGUUGAAGCUAGGCUGUAAUUGGUUCAACCGGGUGAGAGAAUUGAAAAAAAAUGAAGAAAAGAAGGUCACAGACCCGAAAACCCGGUUUUGACCCGCUUCGCGACCCGCACGCGCCCUCCUGCGCCCGCGCGCCCUCCUGCGCCGCGCGGCGCCGCCGCACGCCCUCCUGCGCCCGCGCGCCCUCCUGCGCCCGCGCGCCUGCAUGCGCCCGUGCGCCCGCCUGUGCCCACGCGCCGCCAUGCGCCUGCGCGCCUGCCUUCGCACGACCCGUGUGCGCCUGGGCCGGUUCAAGCCAAUAAAUUUGGUUUUUGGGCCGGUUCAAGCGGUUUCGGUUGGUUUUUUAGCCGGUUCGAAGUUUUUGGGAGUGGUUCUGUACUACACCAAAUUAAUUAUGUAAUAAUUUAGCACUUAGCUUAAUUUAGGAGCCAAAAAUCAGUCCAUUUUAGGGUGUUUUUUUUUUAUUUAUGCAUGUGAUGUAUGAUUAAAUUACUUUAAAUUUGUAUGUGCAUUUUGAAUGUCAUAUAGAUUUAAAAUCCCACCAUAGGUUAACAUGUUCAUGCAUUAAAAUGUAUGAUAUAAAGGUUAUAUUGUAUUGUAUGCAUGUUAAUUGAUUAAUAUGGAAAUUAAUUAAUAUGAUUAAUUAAUUAUUUAAUUAAUUAAGUUAUUCUUGAUUAAAUAUGAUUUAAUCAAAUUAAUUAAUUAUUGUUUGAUUUAAUUUAAUUAAAUAUGAUUUAAUUAAAUUAAAAAUUAAAUAUGAUUUAAUUAAAGUUAAAUAAAUUAAAAUCCAUAUUAAUUGGAUUGUUUUUAUAAGGUUAUAUAUUGAUAAAAUGAUUGAUUAAGUUUAAAAGUUUUUAUAAGUGUUAUAAAAUAAAUUAGACUUUUAAAAUCAAUAACAAAGAUUAAAUGCAUGCUCACUUAGGUUAAACAUAUCUUCCAUUUUUCAUAGAAAUAGGUCGAUAUCUUGUAAAACUGGUUACAAAAGGCUCACCUGGUUCAAUCUUGUCAACAAGUCAGAUAAGAUGACUAAGGUUGGAGGUUCUUAAGUUGACGGUUUACGGAACACCUCCUACCUGGAGAUCGUAAUCAGUUCUUGAGCCUAGUUAACCUAGUUUUAUGAGCAUUCGUGAGAGGUGUGAGGUAAUAAAAAUGGUUUUUCACCUAGACAUCAUAGGUUAAAAUCCUGUAUAAUGGUUAUACUUGGAUGUUUUAUCUAGACUUAAGAUUUGUUUAAGUUAGCCUAAAUAUAAAUCUUGAAGUUUGGAUUACCCUAUUUUUUUCUUUUAGAACACUUCAACUAGAGAAAAAUAAUGUAUUUUAGCUCUAGUGUCCCUAAGAGUUCACACCGUGAGGUCCAUGCAGGGCUUUGUGCCGUGCAUAGGAGCGGCCUCCCUUCGGAGAGUGUUUGCAUGGAUCAAAAUCAAGGUGAAUAGGGGAAGUAGUUCAUAGUAAGUGGGUGAGGGAUUUGUGGCAGCACAUCCCACGGUCUCUUCCAUUAGGUCGCACCGUGAGAUUUCUAUAAUAUGCCUGCUUGUCUGCCCUGGAGCGACGUUCCCUUCGGAGGGUUGUAUUAUAGGAUUCGGAACACCGCGAACUCCAAAACUGGAUAGGAUUUCUUAGAUUAGUUUUCAUAAAUGAUUCUAAUCUAUAAAAUCUGAAAAUGGUGGGUAACACUUACAAGAAUUACUAAGUUGUUAGUAUAUUCUUGACUAAAGUAGCGAUAACUAAGUGCUAUAAAGAAUAAAGAGUUAUUCUUGAGAUAGCAUCUAGUCAAGAUUGUCUUGGUUCAAAGGAGGAAUAAUCAACUACCCUUCGGAGAAGGUUGUUCUAAACCUUUGAAAUAUUGUUGCAAAAUACAAAUAAUGAAAGGGUACAUUAUUAGUAAUUGCUAAAUUAGAUUGGAUAUUUUUUAUGAUUAUAGUUUUUUCCUAAAAAGAAUAUGUUUGUUUUUCAGCAUGAAUAGCUCAAUAGUUCAACUUUUAGCUUCCGAAAAACUUAAUGGCGAUAAUUAUGCGGCUUGGAAAUCAAAUCUUAACACAAUACUAGUGGUUGACGAUUUAAGAUUUGUCUUAACUGAGGAAUGUCCUCAAAACCCUGCCUCUAAUGCUAACCGAACUAGUCGGGAUGCAUAUGAUCGAUGGAUAAAAGCUAAUGAAAAAGCCCGUGUCUACAUUCUUGCCAGCAUGUCUGAUGUAUUGGCAAAGAAACAUGAAUCCUUAGCCACGGCUAAAGAGAUUAUGGAUUCAUUAAGGGGAAUGUUUGGGCAACCAGAAUGGUCCUUAAGACACGAGGCAGUCAAAUACAUUUACACUAAGCGUAUGAAGGAAGGGACCUCUGUUAGAGAACAUGUUCUGGACAUGAUGAUGCACUUCAACAUCGCUGAAGUGAAUGGUGGUCCCAUCGAAGAGGUUAAUCAAGUUAGUUUUAUCUUAGAGUCUCUUCCGAAGAGCUUCAUUCCAUUCCAAACGAAUGCGUCUUUGAACAAGAUAGAAUUUAACUUGACAACCCUUCUGAAUGAACUCCAGCGAUUCCAAAACCUAACUAUGGGUAAAGGAAAACAAGUGGAAGCAAAUGUUGCUACCACAAAAAGAAAAUUUAUAAGAGGAUCGUCCUCUAAAACCAAAGCUGGACCCUCAAAACCUAAUGCUCAAAUAAAAAAGAAGGGAAAGGGAAAGACUCCCAAACAGAACAAGGGUAAGAAAGGUGCAGAAAAAGGUAAGUGUUACCAUUGUGGCCAAAACGGGCACUGGUUAAGAAACUGCCCAAAAUACCUUGCAGAAAAAAAGGCAGAGAAGGAAACACAAGGUAAAUAUGAUUUACUAGUUGUAGAAACAUGUUUAGUGGAAUAUGAAAAUUGUACCUGGAUACUAGAUUCAGGAGCCACUAAACCAUAUUUGCUUCUCAUUUCAGGAAAAUAGUUCUUGGAAAAAGCUUUCAGAAGGCGAGAUCACUCUCAAGGUUGGAACAUGAGAGAGAUGGUCUCAACUUCAGCAGUGGGAGAUUUAAAGUUGUUUUUUAGAGAUAGAUAUGUCAUACUUAAGAAUGUCUUAUAUGUACCUCAAAUGAAAAGAAAUUUAAUAUCUAUCUCUUGUAUUUUGGAACAAAUGUAUAGAAUAUCUUUUGAAAUUAAUGAAGCGUUCGUUUUCUAUAAAGGUAUUCUAGUUUGUUCUGCUAUACUUGAAGACAACUUAUAUAAGUUAAGACCAACCAGAGCAAAUUUUGUCUUAAAUACUGAAAUUAUUCAGAACAGCUGAAACUCAGAAUAAAAGACAAAAAGUUUCUUCUAAUGCCUAUUUAUGGCACUUAAGACUUGGUCACAUAAAUCUCAAUAGGAUUGGGAGAUUAGUUAAAAGUGGGCUUCUAAGUCCGUUAGAAGAUAACUCUUUACCUCCUUGUGAAUCUUGUCUUGAAGGAAAAAUGACCAAGAGAUCUUUUACUGGAAAAGGUCUAAGAGCCAAAGGACCCUUAGAGCUCGUACAUUCGGACCUUUUGUGGACCAAUGAAUGUCAAAACUCGAGGUGGAUAUGAAUAUUUCAUUAGCUUCAUUGAUGAUUAUUCAAGGUAUGGUCAUAUUUACCUAAUACAUCAUAAGUCUAAUAGUCUUGAAAAGUUCAAAGAAUAUAAGGCUGAAGUAGAAAACGAAUUAGGUAAAACAAUAAAAAUACUUCGAUCAGAUCGAGGUGGAGAGUAUAUGGACUUACGAUUCCGAGACUAUUUAAUAGAAAAUGGAAUCCAGUCACAACUCUCUGCACCUAGUACACCUCAACAGAACGGUGUAUCAGAAAGAAGAAACCGGACCUUGUUAGACAUGGUUCGCUCUAUGAUGAGUUUUUCUCAGAUGUCAGAUUCUUUUUUGGGGAUAUGCUUUAGAAACAGCUGCUUAUAUUUUGAAUAAUGUUCCCUCUAAAAGUGUUUCAGAAACACCUUAUGAGCUAUGGAAAGGGCGUAAAGGCAGUUUACGUCAUUUUAGAAUUUGGGGUUGUCCAGCACACGUGUUGGUACAAAAUCCAAAGAAAUUGGAACAUCGUUCAAAAUUAUGCUUUUUAUAGGUUAUCCAAAAGAAUCAAGAGGUGGUUUGUUUUAUGAUCCUCAAGAAAAUAAAAUAUUUGUGUCAACAAAUGCCACAUUCUUAGAGGAAGACCACAUCAGGGAUCAUCAACCUCGUAGUAAACUAGUAUUAAAAGAAAUUUCCAAAAGUGCUAUAGAUAAACCUAGUUCAUCCACUAAGGUAGUUGAUAAGACUAGGAAAUCUGGUCAAUCACAUCCUUCUCAACAGUUGAGAGAGCCUCGACGUAGUGGGAGGGUUGUUCAUCAGCCUGAUCGCUAUUUGGGUUUAAUUGAAACUCAAGUCGUCAUACCUGACGAUGGCAUAGAGGAUCCAUUAACCUAUAAACAGGCAAUGAAAGAUGUAGAUCGUGAUGAAAAGGAUCAAAGCCAUGGAAGCCAUGGACUCGAAAUGGAGUCUAUGUACUUUAAUUCUGUCUAGACUCUAGUAGAUCAACCAAAUGACGUAAAACCUAUUGGUUGUAAAUGGAUCUACAAGAGAAAACGAGACCAUGCCGGUAAAGUACAGACUUUUAAGGCUCGACUUGUGGCAAAGGGUUAUACCCUAGAGAGAGGGAGUAGACUAUGAGGAAACUUUCUCUCCUGUUGCCAUGUUAAAGUCAAUUAGAAUACUCUUAUCCAUCGCCACUUUUUAUGAUUAUGAAAUUUGGCAGAUGGAUGUCAAGACAGCUUUUUUGAACGGUAAUCUUGAAGAGAGCAUCUAUAUGUCUCAACCAGAGGGGUUUAUAAAACAAGAUCAAGAACAAAAGGUUUGUAAGCUUAAAAAAAUCCAUUUAUGGAUUAAAACAAGCUUCUAGAUCCUGGAAUAUAAGAUUUGAUAUUGCGAUCAAAAUCUUAUGGCUUUGAACAAAAUGUUGACGAGCCUUGUGUUUACAAAAGGUCGUCAAUUCCAUUAUAGCAUUUUUAGUCUUAUAUGUAGAUGAUAUUCUACUUAUUGGAAAUGACGUAGGAUAUCUUACUGAUAUCAAGAAAUGGCUAGCUAUGCAAUUUCAAAUGAAAGAUCUGGGAGAUGCACAAUACGUUCUCGGAAUCCAAAUUGUUCGAAACCGUAAGAACAAAACACUAGCCAUGUCUCAAGCAUCUUACAUAGACAAAAAUGUUGUCUAGAUAUAAAAUGCAGAAUUCCAAAAAGGGUCUGCUGCCGUACAGAUAUGGAAUUCAUUUGUCAAAGGAACAAUGUCCUAAGACACCUCAAGAAGUUGAGGAUAUGAGAAAUAUUCCCUAUGCUUCCGCUGUUGGAAGUUUAAUGUAUGCAAUGUUAUGUACUAGACCUGACAUUUGCUACUCAGUAGGGAUGGUCAGUAGGUAUGGUCAGUAGGUAUCAAUCCAAUCAUGGACGUGAUCACUGGACAGCCGUUAAAAACAUUCUACAUGCUCAUGUAUCGUACAAAGGAUAUGAUCCUUACUGGAUACACUGAUUCGGAUUUCCAAACUAAUAAAGAUGUUAGAAAGUCUACAUCAGAAUCAGUAUUUACUCUAAAUGGAGGAGCAGUAGUUUGGAGAAGCAUAAAGCAAACUUGUAUAGCUGAUUCCACAAUGGAAGCUGAUCAUUUUACAAAAGCCCUCACGGCUAAAGUGUUUGAGGGUCACCUACACAGUUUAGGUGUACGAUGUUUGUAAACUAGGACAAGUGGGAGACUUAUUGGCCAUGUGCCCUAGUUUCAUAUAUAUUCUCUCACACCACAUCUCUCAUACCACUAGGAAUUUUAGUCCAAGUGGGAGUUUGUUGGAAUUUUUUGUCCUAAAACUCGUAGUUUGUAAAUCAUAUUCUAUUCAAUAAAGUUGUUAUUGAGAAAUUAAAUAUUAUAAUCUUAAAUCCAAUAAAUCAAAGUUCCAAGGCUAUUUUUUGAAUAAACUUGAACUUUAUGUGUAAACAUAAACGUGGAUCAAGUUCGAGUAUAUAGCCUAAAUAGUCUAUAGUAUAUGAAAUAAAGGUUGGGCGCCUUAUUUUGAGAGACUAUGGAUGCGGCCCACUUUGUAGUACAAACGAUGUGAUCCUAAUCGUUCAUGUAGAGACAUGAAAGUGGGGGCAUCCUAUGUAAAAUGUUUACAUAAGACUGAACCAUGAAUUAGUCAUUUUUACGUUAUAACACCGUUUACUGUUUAAAACUGACUAUCUCAAUUAUUGAUGACCUAGGUAACUUAGUCUUAAUCCUGAGUUAACUAUGAACUCCUGUUCAUACGAGAUUAUCCUUAGAUCUGCAUAGGUGAGGGCAGCUCAUCAGCGUUGGCCCAAUAAGCCUCCCAUUUCAGGGGUAAGAUCGGGUGGAUAGCUGGGAACAUAGGGUACAAGAUGGAAUUCACUCCUACCCGCUUUAGGGUUAGUAGAUAGGUUGCUCUCUUAAGCACUGAAUCCAAGUCUUGAACAAGGGGCCCCACCCUCUCAUUGGCCCGAGAGGGAUUAAGUUUAUAGGUUGAACCUUAAACCAAUUGUUCAAUAGUGGAUUAGUGGGACUUAAGGAGCAAGAUGUAAUCUUGGGGGUAAAACGGUAUUUUGACCCAGCCAAGGUUACGAGCAACCUGUGAAGGAUUAACUUACUGAUUAUGGUUUUAUCAAAUGGACACAAAUAUAUCUAUAGUGAGGGGAGUGCAACUACGGGACUUUAGUGGAAUGACCCGUUAGUUAACGAAUGUUGAUUAACUCGGUUUAAAAGAGUUUAGCUAGUUAAUCUUGAAUCGUUGGAGCCCAUGAUCUAUAGGUCCAUUAGGUUCCUCUGCUAGCUCAUAUGGAUUAAACUUAGAACAGUGUGAUGAAAUAAGUCGAAUUGUUCGAAUAGGGAGAAGAAAGGAAAACCGACAUAUACAGUGAUAUAAUCGUCGGUCUUCUAAUUAGAAAUAGAGCUUUAUGUUUUACAUACUAUAAGUAUGAAUGCGGAUUCAUACUAAGAAGCUCGGAAUUGGUCAAAAAUAGUAAAAAGUCAAAAUGUUGACUUUUGACUUUGAAAAGUCAAACUUUGACCGGCCUUAUAUUCAAAUGUGAUUUGAAUUUUGGAAAAAUGAAUGCGGAUUCAUGCUCGGGAGGUUGGAAUUAGUCAAGACGGACAAAAUGGUAAAAAGUCAAAAUAUUGACUUUUGACUUAGAAAAGUCAAAGUUUGACUUUUGACUAGAAAAAAUCUAAUGACCAUUUUACCCUUGGACUAAGUUAGUGGGAAAAUCCAACAUUUUGUUGGAUAAUCCCACUAACUCUUAGUGGGAUAUGUGGCUAUAUGAGAUAUAGACACCUAGCCCACUAAGUUCCACUAAUUGUUAGUGGAAUAUUAGGUGUUGAGAUUUGGCAAUUGAAUUGCAUGCAUUUUUGCAUGUAAUUAGGCUAUAAAUAGAGAUGUUUUCAAAUGUUGAAGGACUUUUGCCUCUUUUAUCAUUUUCAUAAUCUCAACAAAAGAAAAAAGAAAGCUUCCAAUCUCAUUUUAUCUCCAUUACUUUCUACACCAAAAUUGGGUCCCACAACCCGGUUCUUUGUCUAGAGGAUAGCAGUUGAGUACUAGUGGUGGUCUCGGGUAGAAUUGGUAAGAAGACAUCAAACCUUUUGUAAGCUUCAAAGGUAAUACUUCUUAAAACCCUAAUUUGAUUAGUUUAUGGUU